GACGAACGCUGGCGGCGUGCUUAACACAUGCAAGUCGAACGGAAAGGCCCUGCUUUUGUGGGGUGCUCGAGUGGCGAACGGGUGAGUAACACGUGAGUAACCUGCCCUUGACUUUGGGAUAACUUCAGGAAACUGGGGCUAAUACCGGAUAGGAGCUCCUGCUGCAUGGUGGGGGUUGGAAAGUUUCGGCGGUUGGGGAUGGACUCGCGGCUUAUCAGCUUGUUGGUGGGGUAGUGGCUCACCAAGGCUUUGACGGGUAGCCGGCCUGAGAGGGUGACCGGCCACAUUGGGACUGAGAUACGGCCCAGACUCCUACGGGAGGCAGCAGUGGGGAAUAUUGCAGAAUGGGCGGAAGCCUGAGGCAGCAACGCCGCGUGCGGGAUGACGGCCUUCGGGUUGUGAACCGCUUUCGCCGGUGACGAAGCGUGAGUGACGGUAAUGAAUAAGGAAGCACCGGCUAACUACGUG
rnacentral:rRNA from 1 species